rnacentral:rRNA from 1 species
AGCUCCAUUAGCGUAUAUUAAAGUUGUUGCAGUUAAAAAGCUCGUAGUUGGAUUUCGGUGUGGGCCAGUCGGUCGGCCGCAAGGCUUGUUCACUGGCUGGUCUGCUCUCUCAAUCUCAAAGACUGCACGUGCUCUUCACUGUAGUGUGUGUCAGGAUUUGGGACGUUUACUUUGAAAAAAUUAGAGUGUUCCACGCAGGCGCGUUCCGCCCGAAUAAUGGUGCAUGGAAUAAUGGAAUAGGACCUCGGUUCUAUUUUGUUGGUUUUCGGAACUAGAGGUAAUGAUUAAGAGGGACAGACGGGGGCAUUCGUAUUGCGGUGUUAGAGGUGAAAUUCUUGGAUCGCCGCAAGACGAACUACUGCGAAAGCAUUUGCCAAGAAUGUUUUCAUUAAUCAAGAAC